ACUCAGUACACUGAAAAAAAUGGACUUAGUGGGUCUUUGAAUUUAAAUAAAAUAAACAUGUAUAUGCAACACAAAAUAUUUAUAUUCCUUGUGUAAACAUAAUUUAAUUGAUUAGGAUUAAAAUGUUUUGUUUGAAUGUAAAAUGAACACAUUAUUCUCACAUUGAUUAAAAUUGAUUGAAUUGAAUACUUAAAGCAAUAAAAUUGCGUUUGGACACAAAACGGCACCUCCUGAGCAGCAGGGGCAGUAUAGCUCAAUGAGAAGGACAUCGAUUGCCAUAAAAGAAGAAUAAAGAUCGUUUGUUUUGGGCGCCAAAAUGAAGACUCAGCAGCAGUCAGUCAGUCAGUCAGAAGAACUCUCUCAGACGGACACCACGUUAUUAAAGUCCAUCAUCCUUUCAUGCGCUACACAGCAUUGAUAAAUGCUGAAUUUAAAAGAAUCACUACUGUCUAAUGUUCCUGUGUCACCUGGACCUCCAAUCCAAAAACCUGACGAAACUCUUCUAUCAGAAAGGAUGACAGCUAGCAAAAAGACUUCAAACAAUUAAUGAUCAAAUGACAGAAGGCAUGGAUGAAGUCAGCAUCAGUGAGGUCAUUUGAAGACACCAAUGUUGGGAUUUGUGCUCUCAAACAACAUGCUGCUUGUGAUGAAGAAGAGGAUAUUUGUAUAGUCCUGGAAGCCAUGAAGGUGUUGCAACAUCGUGUUUGAGCUGAUGUAUGCCUUAAACCUGGUCUCCGCUUUAUUUUUGAGGAAAUCCAAACUGCAUUGAGAGUAACUUUAACGAACAGUUUCUUUCAGUGAAAGGAUCAGAAAGACUGUGCUGCUCAUUUUUGAAUUUUUUAUCUGUUUUAAGUGUUUUCUCUUAUUAAUACAUUAACAGUUUGCUGCUCAGAGUCGAUUUUGGAAAUGGUUGUUGUAUUUUGUUUUUGUUGAAUCUUUGAUUAACAGUUUAUAAAUGCUGUAGCUCUGACUUUCUGAAGGAGUGAUAUUUUCCAGUUUGUAAAUCCAUUUUAUAAAUAAUAGUACUUACUGUUUUGCAUGUGUCUUUGGAAUGCAGUGUUUGUGCUUUAGCACGUCUAAAUCUACUGUGAUAGUAACUAUUUUAUACAUUUGGGUCAGUUUCACAGAUGGGGCUUUUCCUAGUCCCAGACUUUUGCAAUGCCAUAUAUCAGUGCCAUUGUUUUGUCGGUAACACUUUACAAUAAGGUUCAUUAGUUAACAUUAGUUAACUACAUUAAUUAAUGUGAACUAAUAAUCAACUGCACUUAUACAGCAUUUAUUCAUCUUUGUUAAUGUUAAUUUCAACAAUUACUAAUACUUUUAUUAAAAUUUUGUUAAUGUUAGUUAAUGCACUGUGAACUAACAUGAACAAGCAAAUAAAGCUUUAUUUAUAUUAACUAACAUUAACAAAGAUUAAUAAAUACUGUAACAAAUGUAUUGCUCAUGGUUUGUUCAUGUUAGUUAAUACAUUAACUAAUAUUAACUAAUGAACCUUAUUGUAAAGUGUUACCGUUUUGUCUAAAGAUGUACUCCAGUGUUGUUUUUGUAAGGUAGGUUUGUUUGUAAACUUUAUUUUAUUAAAAAUAUCCUAAUAUAACUAGGGCCUAGUCAUGGAUUAAUCUACAACCUGUUUGGGAAAUUGCCCCUUUAUGUAUGUACUGCAUGUGCUGAUUGUUGUAAUAGUUAUUGACUGUUAAUGAAUUAAUGUGUAAUGAUGUAAUUGAAUUGAUGAUCUGAAAGCAGUGGUUUGCCUCAAUAUCACUAAACAUUUGUACAAAACUCUUUGCUUUUUAUGCCAAUGCAAAUGUAUUUAAAAAAAAAUAAAUAACAUUUGGAUAA